AAAUAUAUAUAUCGGCGCAGGCAGCUUCAACGACGGAUGCAACAUGAAAAUAAAUGGCACCAAUUAUUAUAACACCUUAUUGGUCGUCGUUACUAUUGUUAAAAGGACUGCAGAGUUCAGCGAGUGCGGAGCAUAAAGAACCUUCGAGAAAUACAAGAACAUUUAGAAGAAUUGAAGUUUCAUUUUAAAAUAUCUGGAACUUACUGAAACAAGUGACAUUAGAGACGUCAGCGAGGCUGGCGUCCUGUCUUUAAAAUAAUGAAUUUAUAAUAAAAUCCGAUAUCAGAAGUGGGAUCGCUCCUGUGAUCAGUUACUGCCGGUCUUAGUGUAUUUGUAAAUCCUGAUCCAGCUCAAGAAAAUAAUCAUCCGGAGUACUUGCGUAAUGAAGAACGCUCCUCAGUCUUUCAUGCAAAUGAUGUCAACAAUGCAGAGCGUGACCGAACGUUUGCUACUAAAAAAAAAAACAAGGGAUACGAUUAAAAUUACUAACAAGAUUUUUUGAUCCCGGUGAUAGUGUGUGUGUUCGGGAUUGAUUCAAACGCAUCUUUACGGCUGUAAAUACGUACCAAAUCAGUAACUACGACAUUCGAAUUAAAGCCUUUUAAAGGAGCGAGCUAGAAAGUGUGCAGACGAUUGGUUAGUUGCAACAUCUACACAAGAGGCAUUACGUGAGACCAUAGCUAACAUUUGUUAUUAUCCUUUGAGCUAACCUCGUGUCCAUGAUGUAUUCUGAAGAGAACCAUGAGAUUCUGUAGGGAAGGCUUGUGGUACCGUGACAAGACAAUUAUACACCACAGAUCUGGAGAGCGUGACCUCUGAGCUAAUCGCGUGUUACCCUUGAGCUAACCACGGGUCCUUGAUGUAUCCAUAAGAGAACCAUGAGAUUCCGUAGGGAUGCCUUGUGGAGCCGUGAGAAGACAAGUCUACACCACAGAUGUGGAGAGCGUACCUCUGAACUAAUCGCGUGUUACUCUUGAGCCAACCACAGGUCCUUGCUGUAUCCUUAAGAAUACCAUGAGAUGACGUAGGGAGGCCUUGGGAAGACUUGAGUAGAAAGGUACUCACUCGAUCUAUAAGAACUUGCAUGAUUUUAAUAUCAAACUACUGAGAUUAUUGCUUUAUUUAAAAUUGACAAUAGACAUACUCUUCACAGUAAUAUUUGCAACAUGUCUGGUUAACGGCAGUGCCUCUACAAAAACGAUGCUGUAAUUCAAACGAAAGCAUACUCGACUCCAAAAUCCUGAUUAAAUACAUCUAUUGCGAAUAUAACUAAUUUCUGUUCCUUUUCUGCUAACCGUGAUCAUGCGUUUGAAUCGUGUUUCCGACGGGAAUAAGGAGAUCACGCCGAAUUUUAAUUUAAUACCAACUGUUCCAGGUUUUGAAAUGACUACUGAUAUAUUAACCGGAGCAGAUUUAUUACGUGAUAAGAAUACAUGUGGAAAAUUUAGUAUCCUUGCCGAUGUUUUGCACAUACGAACAAGUCAAUUAUGCUUUGACAGUUUAGAUUACAAUUCAACAAUCAGUCCGUUUAAAUCGAAGUAAUGCACCAACACAUUCAAAACAGGAUGGUCGAGGCGGAGAGAAGAUACAAAGCUAGGUUUUUGAGAGGUCGAGCUACGAUUAAAAGAUUCCAGAAGGGAGAUAUUGUAAUAAUAAAAAUAUAACCCCAGAAAUCGGAUAUCCCUAUAUUUAAAAUUUUGUGAACUAUACAAAAUCCAGAAAAUAAUUGAGAAUGAUUAAUAUCUUGUAAAGUGAUUUUAGACAAUGGAUGACUUCGAAAUGUGGCACAUGACCAGCUACGAAUGUGGCACAUUACCAGCUACGAUGAGACUUCACAGCAUCUGAGGGACGACACAGAAUUACUAAGCAAGCAGUUAGGUGGACGGUUCGCCUACCUAAUAGUUAUCCGGUGAGCGUAUUUCAUUUUGUUCAAAUUGCUUCAUUCAAACGCAUUACCAUUAAUCAUUGCUAGCAAUGUGAUUGUCUAACACUUAGUUUGAGAUAUAUUACUAUAAAAGAUGCAUUUGGCGUGCGGAUCCGAACCAUAACAAAAAAAAAAUAAUAAUAAUAAAUAAAAAAUAAAAUAAAAUAAUAAUUAAUAAAAAAUAAUAUUGUAGACGGGUGGAGACGUCUUACGCCAAACAAAUAAAGAAAGAAAAAAAAAAUUUAUGUAGACGGGUGGAGACGUCUUACGAAAAAAAAAAUUAAAAAAAUAUUGUACUGGUGGAGACGUCUUACGCCAAACAAAUAAGGAAAUAAAAAAAAAAAAAAAGUUGUAGGCGGAUGGAGACAUCCUAUGACAUAUGUUAUGAAUGUUCGUGUGACGCCCCAAAGCCAUAAGUAGACCUGAUAUUAUGAUUUCGUCUCACGAUGAGUCGUAAUAAACAACGUAACCCAUACGACAACAACAAAUUUGUUAACCAUAACUAUAACAAUAUAAAGUUAUCUAGGUUUACUGUGGAAGUACCUAGACUACAUAAGUAUCUCUCUGUUAUCACAGAAAACAAUGCAGAGCACGCAUCAGUAUAACCGUAUCGGCAUGACUUCGGACGAUGAAGCAUCAAUUCUUGAACCUGGCCCAUCUACUCUACGAGACCUGCAAGGGGUACGAGAACAUAACGAAAGCUAAGCAAGAGAGAACACAUCACCUGGCAGGUGCAGAGCACGCACCGCCUGCCAGAAUGGCCGUAUCGGCACAGGCAGCUUCAACGACGGAUGCAACAUGAAAAUAAAUGGCACCAAUUAUUAUAACACCUUAUUGGUCGUCGUUACUAUUGUUAAAAGGACUGCAGAGUUCAGCGAGUGCGGAGCAUAAAGAACCUUCGAGAAAUACAAGAACAUUUAGAAGAAUUGAAGUUUCAUUUUAAAAUAUCUGGAACUUACUGAAACAA